GAUGAACGCUGGCGGCGUGCCUAACACAUGCAAGUCGAACGGAGUCCAGCCUUUAAGACCUUCGGGUCAAAGAGGGGAAGACUGAGUGGCGGACGGGUGAGUAACACGUGGGCAACCUGGCUCAUAGAGGGGGAUAACAGAGAGAAAUUUCUGCUAAUACCGCAUAAGCACACACUGCCGCAUGGCAGAGGGUGAAAAGAGAAUCGCUAUGAGAUGGACCCGCGUCUGAUUAGCCAGUUGGCAGGGUAAGAGCCUACCAAAGCGACGAUCAGUAGCCGAUCUGAGAGGAUGAACGGCCACAUUGGGACUGAGACACGGCCCAAACUCCUACGGGAGGCAGCAGUGGGGGAUAUUGCACAAUGGGGGGAACCCUGAUGCAGCGACGCCGCGUGAGUGAAGAAGUAUUUCGGUAUGUAAAGCUCUAUCAGCAGGGAAGAUAAUGACAGUACCUGAAUAAGAAGCCCUGGCUAACUACGUG
rnacentral:rRNA from 1 species